AGAAGUCAUUUUGAGGGGAUUUGACUUUUUCUGAAAAAAAAUUUGAAAUGUCAAUCCCGCAAAACAAACAUCGACAAUAGAAAUGAAUCACUUCAGUUUUUAUUCGGAACAUCAAAUAAUUCAAAUCAAACAUGCCAGAAUAUUUUGCGAGUUUAUUGACCGUCUCUAACGCGAAAGGGCAGCAAAAGCCAUUGGGCGCCUCUUUGCUUCACAUUAACUAUAAAAAAUAAAACCGACCGUCUCCCAGAGCAAGUGGCAAAGGGCUUGGUGGUUGGUACCCGAUGUCCUAAAUUCGAAUCCUAGUUGAUUCAUAUUUUCAGCUAAGUUUAUUUAUAAAUGAAAUAAACGAAGCGGGUAGCAUGCUACCUAUCUCUCAAAAAAAAUAUAUAUAUAUAUAUAAUAAAAAAUAAACAAAGCAGGUAGCAUCCUACCUUCUCUCUCAAAAAUUUUAAAAAUAAAAUAU
rnacentral:lncRNA from 1 species